GACGAACGCUGGCGGCGUGCUUAACACAUGCAAGUCGAACGAAGUGGCGCACGGGUGAGUAACGCGUAAUCAACCUGCCCUUCAGAGGGGGACAACAGUCGGAAACGUCUGCUAAUACCGCAUACUCAAGGAGGGGAUUGCGUCUGAUUAGCUCGUUGGAGGGGUAACGGCCCACCAAGGCGAUGAUCAGUCGCCGGUCUUAGAGGAUGAACGGCCACAAUGGGACUGAGACACGGGCCAGACUCCUACGGGAGGGAGCAGUGGGGAAUCUGCCGGAAUGGACGAAAGUCUGACGGAGCAACGCCGCGGGAGUGAUGACGGCCGUCGGGUUGUAAAGCUCUGUUAAGCGGGACGCGGUACCGGAAUAGAAAGCCACGGCUAACUACGUGCCAGCCGCCGCGGUAAUAC
rnacentral:rRNA from 1 species